rnacentral:rRNA from 1 species
GAUGAACGCUGGCGGCGUGCCUAAUACAUGCAAGUCGAGCGAACAGACGAGGAGCUUGCUCCUCUGACGUUAGCGGCGGACGGGUGAGUAACACGUGGAUAACCUACCUAUAAGACUGGGAUAACUUCGGGAAACCGGAGCUAAUACCGGAUAAUAUAUUGAACCGCAUGGUUCAAUAGUGAAAGACGGUUUUGCUGUCACUUAUAGAUGGAUCCGCGCCGCAUUAGCUAGUUGGUAAGGUAACGGCUUACCAAGGCAACGAUGCGUAGCCGACCUGAGAGGGUGAUCGGCCACACUGGAACUGAGACACGGUCCAGACUCCUACGGGAGGCAGCAGUAGGGAAUCUUGCGCAAUGGGCGAAAGCCUGACGGAGCCACGCCGCGUGAGUGAUGAAGGUCUUCGGAUCGUAAAACUCUGUUAUUAGGGAAGAACAAAUGUGUAAGUAACUAUGCACGUCUUGACGGUACCUAAUCAGAAAGCCACGGCUAACUACGUG